UGAUCAUGGCUCAGAACGAACGCUGGCGGCAGGCCUAACACAUGCAAGUCGAACGCUGUAGCAAUACAGAGUGGCAGACGGGUGAGUAACACGUGGGAAUAUACCCUUUGGUUCGGAACAACUCAGGGAAACUUGAGCUAAUACCGGAUAAGCGCGAGAGCGGAAAGAUUUAUCGCCGAAGGAUUAGCCCGCGUCUGAUUAGCUAGUUGGUGAGGUAAUGGCUCACCAAGGCGACGAUCAGUAGCUGGUCUGAGAGGAUGAUCAGCCACAUUGGGACUGAGACACGGCCCAAACUCCUACGGGAGGCAGCAGUGGGGAAUAUUGGACAAUGGGCGCAAGCCUGAUCCAGCCAUGCCGCGUGAGUGAUGACGGCCUUAGGGUUGUAAAGCUCUUUUACCUGGGAAGAUAAUGACGGUACCAGGAGAAUAAGCCCCGGCUAACUUCGUGCCAGCAGCCGCGGUAAUACGAAGGGGGCUAGCGUUGUUCGGAAUCACUGGGCGUAAAGCGCACGUAGGCGGAUCUUUAAGUCAGGGGUGAAAUCCCAGAGCUCAACUCUGGAACUGCCUUUGAUACUGGGGAUCUUGAGUCCGGAAGAGGUAAGUGGAACUGCGAGUGUAGAGGUGAAAUUCGUAGAUAUUCGCAAGAACACCAGUGGCGAAGGCGGCUUACUGGUCCGGAACUGACGCUGAGGUGCGAAAGCGUGGGGAGCAAACAGGAUUAGAUACCCUGGUAGUCCACGCCGUAAACGAUGGAUGCUAGCCGUUAGGCAGCUUGCUGCUUAGUGGCGCAGCUAACGCUUUAAGCAUCCCGCCUGGGGAGUACGGUCGCAAGAUUAAAACUCAAAUGAAUUGACGG
rnacentral:rRNA from 1 species